rnacentral:rRNA from 1 species
AGUGAACGCUGGCGGCAGGCCUAAUACAUGCAAGUCGAACGGCAGCACGGCAGAGCUUGCUCUGUGGGUGGCGAGUGGCGGACGGGUGAGGAAUACAUGGGAAUCUGCCCAGUCGUGGGGGAUAACGUAGGGAAACUUACGCUAAUACCGCAUGCGCCCUUCGGGGGAAAGCCGGGGACCUUCGGGCCUGGCGCGAUUGGAUGAGCCCAUGUCGGAUUAGCUAGUUGGCGGGGUAAUGGCCCACCAAGGCGACGAUCCGUAGCUGGUCUGAGAGGAUGAUCAGCCACACUGGAAUUGAGAUACGGUCCAGACUCCUACGGGAGGCAGCAGUGGGGAAUCUUGGGCAAUGGGCGAAAGCCUGACCCAGCGACGCCGCGUUGGGGAUGAAGCCCUUCGGGGCGUAAACCCAUGUUGUAGGGGACGAAGAAAGUGACGGUACCCUACGAGAAAGCCCCGGCCAACUACGUG